rnacentral:rRNA from 1 species
AGAGUUUGAUCCUGGCUCAGGAUGAACGCUGGCGGCGUGCUUAACACAUGCAAGUCGAACGAAGCACUUUAUUUGAUUUCCUUCGGGACUGAUUAUUUUGUGACUGAGUGGCGGGCGGGUGAGUAACGCGUGGGUAACCUGCCUUGUACAGGGGGAUAACAGUUGGAAACGGCUGCUAAUACCGCAUAAGCGCACAGCAUCACAUGAUGCAGUGUGAAAAACUCCGGUGGUAUAAGAUGGACCCGCGUUGGAUUAGCUAGUUGGUGAGGUAACGGCCCACCAAGGCGACGAUCCAUAGCCGACCUGAGAGGGUGACCGGCCACAUUGGGACUGAGACACGGCCCAAACUCCUACGGGAGGCAGCAGUGGGGAAUAUUGCACAAUGGGCGAAAGCCUGAUGCAGCGACGCCGCGUGAGCGAAGAAGUAUUUCGGUAUGUAAAGCUCUAUCAGCAGGGAAGAUAAUGACGGUACCUGACUAAGAAGCACCGGCUAAAUACGUGCCAGCAGCCGCGGUAAUACGUAUGGUGCAAGCGUUAUCCGGAUUUACUGGGUGUAAAGGGAGCGCAGGCGGUGCGGCAAGUCUGAUGUGAAAGCCCGGGGCUCAACCCCGGUACUGCAUUGGAAACUGUCGUACUAGAGUGUCGGAGGGGUAAGCGGAAUUCCUAGUGUAGCGGUGAAAUGCGUAGAUAUUAGGAGGAACACCAGUGGCGAAGGCGGCUUACUGGACGAUAACUGACGCUGAGGCUCGAAAGCGAGGGGAGCAAACAGGAUUAGAUACCCUGGUAGUCCACACCGUAAACGAUGGAUACUAGGUGUAGGGGAUGAAUAAUCUUCUGUGCCGUCGCAAACGCAGUAAGUAUCCCACCUGGGGAGUACGGCCGCAAGGUUGAAACUCAAAGGAAUUGACGGGGGCCCGCACAAGCAGUGGAGUAUGUGGUUUAAUUCGACGCAACGCGAAGAACCUUACCAGGGCUUGACAUAUAGAGGAAUAACUAAGAGAUUAGUUAGCUCUUCGGAGUCUCUAUACAGGUGGUGCAUGGUUGUCGUCAGCUCGUGUCGUGAGAUGUUGGGUUAAGUCCCGCAACGAGCGCAACCCCUGUUCUUAGUUGCCAGCACGUUAAGGUGGGAACUCUAAGAAGACUGCCGGUGAUAAAUCGGAGGAAGGUGGGGACGACGUCAAAUCAUCAUGCCCUAUAUGUCCUGGGCUACACACGUACUACAAUGGCUAUAACAAAGGGAAGCAAAACCGCGAGGUGGAGCAAAACCCAAAAAAGUAGUCUCAGUUCGGAUUGAAGGCUGAAAUCGCCUUCAUGAAGCCGGAAUUGCUAGUAAUGGCAGGUCAGCAUACUGCCGUGAAUACGUUCCCGGGCCUUGUACACACCGCCCGUCACACCAUGAGAGUUGGGAAUACCCGAAGCCUGUGAGCUAACUGUAAAGAGGCAGCAGUCGAAGGUAGAAUCAAUGAUUGGGGUGAAGUCGUAACAAGGUA